UACGGGAGGCAGCAGUGGGGAAUAUUGCACAAUGGGCGAAAGCCUGAUGCAGCUAUGCCGCGUGUAUGAAGAAGGCCUUAGGGUUGUAAAGUACUUUCAUCGGGGAGGAAAAAACAAACUAAUAAUUUUAUUCUUGACGUUACCCGAAAAAGAAGCACCGGCUAACUCCGUGCCAGCAGCCGCGGUAAUACGGAGGGUGCUAGCGUUAAUCAGAAUUACUGGGCGUAAAGAGCACGUAGGUGGUUUUUUUAAGUUCAGAUGUGAAAUCCCUGGGCUUAACCUAGGAACUGCAUUUUGAAACUGAAAUACUAGAGUAUCGUAGAGGGAGGUAGAAUUCUAGGUGUAGCGGUUGAAAUGCGUAGAUAUCUGGAGGAAUACCUGUGGCGAAAGCGGCCUCCUAAACGAAUACUGACACUGAGGUGCGAAAGCGUGGGGAGCAAACAGGGAUUAGAUACC
rnacentral:rRNA from 1 species